rnacentral:rRNA from 1 species
GACGAACGCUGGCGGCGUGCUUAACACAUGCAAGUCGAACGAAGUGGCGAACGGGUGAGUAAUACGUGAGUAACCUGCCCUCCUUUUUGGGAUAAGCCUUGGAAACGGGGACUAAUACCGAAUACAGGGGGAUGUGCUCGCGGCCUAUCAGCUUGUUGGUGGGGUGAUGGCCUACCAAGGCGGUGACGGGUAGCCGGCCUGUGAGGGUGACCGGCGACAUUGGGACUGAGAUACGGCCCAGACUGCUACGGGAGGAAGCAGUGGGGGAUAUUGCACAAAGGGCGAAAGGCGGAUGCAGCGACGCGGCGUGGGGGAUGAAGGCUUUCGGGUUGUAAACCUCUUUCGCUAUCGAAGGGGUAGGUGGAGAGAAAGCGCCGGCUAACUACGUGCCAGCAGCCGCGGUAAUAC